AUUUUCUGGAUGGUUUUUUGCUCCUCUCCCUGAUUUAUAAACAAGAGUGUUCCAAUCCUUCCAAGUCAGCUGAGAGACAAUAUUGUGAAGAUGAUCCAACUGGCAAGGGCCAAGAAACGGAAUGGAGGAUGAGAACAGCUAUGUGUAUGUUCAUCACAAAGAGUGCUUGCCAAUGAAAUGGAGGGAGGGAAACACGGAGAAUGUAAGCAGAGAUUGUGAGAGCAUGGAGCCAGCAAGGUCAUUCACUGCAGGCACUUGAGAAAGAAAUGGACUGUUCUCAUAACA